UAAGACGAACCGAGCGAACGUUAUUCGGAAUCACUGGGCUUAAAGGGCGCGUAGGCGGGCCGGCAAGUCAGGGGUGAAAGCCCCCAGCUCAACUGGGGAAGUGCCUCUGAUACUGCCGGCCUCGAGCGAGGUAGGGGCGUGCGGAACUUCCGGUGGAGCGGUGAAAUGCGUAGAUAUCGGAAGGAACACCGGUGGCGAAAGCGGCGCGCUGGACCUCAUCUGACGCUGAGGCGCGAAAGCCAGGGGAGCAAACGGGAUUAGAUACCCCGGUAGUCCUGGCCCUAAACGAUGGGCACUAGGCAGCGGACUUACAUGGGUUCGCAGCCGGAGCAAAAGUGUUAAGUGCCCCGCCUGGGGAGUAUGGUCGCAAGGCUG
rnacentral:rRNA from 1 species